ensembl:lncRNA
CCGACUUAUAAAAUACCAACCUAACCACGCCACUCUAACUGUACAUUUGUUGAUUGUAUAGCAUGACAACUCUAACUUUCUUAAUUUCAGUCUAUACGUCAAAUACUGACAUGAUGAUAGCAGUUGUCCCACAAGGAAUAAAAAGAGGCCUGAGCUCCUGGAUGAGAUAAAAAUAUGUAAGAGCAUUAUUCGUGCUUCAGAGGAAGUCUGGCUGAAAGCUGAGAGUAAAAGCCAACCCAUUCUUCAAGCAUUGGCAUUUGAGCCUAGUUUUCUUAAAAUGUCACCUUUUUAUUGCAAUCAGCAUAAGUGUCAG